rnacentral:rRNA from 1 species
UACGUAGGGUGCAAGCGUUAAUCGGAAUUACUGGGCGUAAAGCGUGCGCAGGCGGCUUUGCAAGACAGAUGUGAAAUCCCCGGGCUUAACCUGGGAACUGCAUUUGUGACUGCAUGGCUGGAGUGCGGCAGAGGGGGAUGGAAUUCCGCGUGUAGCAGUGAAAUGCGUAGAUAUGCGGAGGAACACCGAUGGCGAAGGCAAUCCCCUGGGCCGGCACUGACGCUCAUGCACGAAAGCGUGGGGAGCAAACAGG